CACGCCCCCACGUUCGAAUCCACGAACGCCACGCACACGUUCGAAUCCACGGACGCCACUCGAAUCCAUGAGCUUACGAUCCGAAUCCACGAACCGCCUUCGAUUACGCCGAAUCCACAACACCGCACAUGAAGAGUAUCAUGUUUUUAUGGUGAUCCUUUUCCUAGAGAUUCAUUGAAGAACCAGAAAUAAGUUGUUGUUUGCCAACGAAUUGAUUGGCUAUGUAUGGUAGAGAGUGGUUGUAGUUUUGUUUCGGCAUGCGAGGUACUACGAUACCGUUAAUUGCGUGAGUUGAAUUGUGUGUCUUGG
rnacentral:lncRNA from 1 species